ensembl:lncRNA
CUGGUGGCUUCAGCAGGCCACUGCUUUGUGAAAAAGAAAGAAAAAAAACAAACAAACAAAAAAAACCCCAACACAUUAAAAGGUUCAACACAAACUGUUGCCGUAAAGUUGGAGCCGCACCGUUGUGCAAGACAUCACUUUAUCUUUCGCAUUUACCGGAAGCACAGCUUCAAACCUUAAGUUUAAUGCAGCAUUUCUGAAUUUCACUCUCACACACCUGCCUGUCAGGUGAAGCAGCUAUCACGUCACUUAAAUGCACGUGCGUGAACACCCACGCAGACUCCAAGUACGAUCACAGUGCACGCGGACUCCAAAGAGGAAAAUGCACGAGAGUCGUUUGCGUAAAUGGCGUAGAUGUGCAGCGCUUUGCAUGUGCAGUGGGCUGAUAACAGACUGUUGGUCUGGAGGCUGCAGACACUUUGCUCCUCAGCAGAUCCUCCAGCAGCCCUGCGCCGGGGCUAUGACUCAUACCGCCUGCCUGCUACCGAUGCUGGACACGACAAGUAACACGCACCGAACACCAACAAGCAAACAAACAAACUCAGAUCCUCCUCUCAGGUGUCUGCUGCUGCCUGGCCAGUUCGUCUCCUCCUCCUCCUCCGAGACGUCGCAUCGCUCCCACAGUCCUGUUCGAGGGCUAAAUCCGGGCAGAGAUCAGCAGCCUGCCCGGAGCGCAGCGUGAUGUCCCAGCGGGCUGUUUGUUGGAGCUACAGGCUGGGGACAGCUCGAGAGUACCUCUGAGAGUCCUGCGAGUCUGAUGGAUGUCGCACGGCUUCCUUUAGGGUGGAGAAUAGACGAUCGAGCUGCUUUCAGGGACUCUCUGUAACCUCUGAUUUUUCAUACUUUGGCUAAGACGUGCAUCGAUGUGCCCAUACUGUGACUAAAUAUCAAAAAAAAUUUGUUUUGAUAUUACUAUGUGAUAUGUUCUAUAUAACAAGCACAGGUUAUUGGUAGAACACUCAAUAAUAAAAAUACAACAUACUGGUUUCAUAAUAUGGAAUGCCAUUUAUGCCAAUAAUAUUAAAGACAUAAAUACACAAUAAAUGUUAGGCA